AUGUAACCUGUAAAGUAGAUAUAGGGUUAAUUUAUGAUGAUAUCAACCUUGUUUCCCAGAGAAAGACACAAUCUUCAACGCCAUUGAUUAUAACCUUAUUUAAAGGGCAAUUAGAUAUGAUUGAGCAGGUAGACACACCAACACCGAGUGGUGAGAGAGAGUUUCUGAGAUAGCCUACUAAGAGCACAAUCCUGGUAGGUUGUGAAGGGUUAUUUACAUCUAUUGUACCUCUACAUCCACCCAUUUUUGCAAUGGUUUUGGUGUCAAAUGAUUUUCUCCAGUAUUUAGUUAAUAAGCAGACACAGUUAGUUGAGAAGCAGAUGCAUACUGAUACCUAGUUGGCCAAGUUGCUAUCCCAGAUAAAGCUAAGGGUUCGAACUUUAAUUGAGAUAUCUGAGACACAUGUAAAGGUUUGAGUGAUGAUAGUAAUGAAAAAGGUUUUGAGAGAGUUGAAUGAGUAGAUUGAUAGUUUUAAGAGUUAGAUAGGCGACCUACUGCAUGAGUCCUAUAUUUUAAAUUUGUCUAGAGGGGUGGGCUACAUUAAGGUAAGUGGUCAGAUCAUUAAUGACUAACCAUACUUCUAUUAUACCACACAUUCUCCAGUCGAUUUCUAUAGCACCAGUACUGGUGUUUGAUCUUUUUAUAGAUGACGAUCCCCCUACUAACAGAGGUAGGAGGGCACGAAGAACUAAGGUCCAUAGUACGAUUCCUAAAGAUUUUAAGAAAGACCUAAGGAGGUCAAAUAAGGUAUCCUAAAUUGAGUAUCAUGUCGAUAUGAUUGCUCAUGAAUAAUAGGACUUAGGAGCCUUAUCCAGUCAGUAUCUACCACCAUCUAGCUUUGAACUUGAGGUGCCUCCUAACAUCCCAACUACGGGCGAGUCCAUAUCCGACGCAUAGAUCACCGUAGGAGAAUAGGAUUUAGAGGCAAAAUGGAGAAAAAAGGAUCAAAAUUGACUAAGGGAAGAGCUGUGGAAAGCAUCCAUGGAUUAUGGAAUCAUCUAAAAACUGUCAAACAUGUUUGUGAAUGAAGUUCUUAAGAGGAAGGCAAAAUUUUGAAUUCCAUGGGUGGGGUCUAUCAAUUGUAGACUUAGUCCACAACCAGUGGAAUCAAAUCGUAAACAAGAUACUGCAAAAAAAUAAGUUUUUGAUUUCCACGGAUGGAUACUAUGACUCAUGAACUAGGUCUAUAGUUGGAAGACUAGAUCAGUGGAAAAGAGUUUGAUUUCCACGGCUCCAAUCCAUGAUUGGUAGACUGAUCUACGACUAUAGUCUAUGAUUAGUAGAAACAUGCCAACCUGUUUCUCCUACAUAGGUUAGUAUAGAAUUCCUUUUGUAUCUAUAAGUUUUAAUAUUAGGUUUUAUGAUUAUUUUACAUUAUAUUACAUUAUUGUAAGGUUCUAAGUCACAUUCUUGAUCUUGAAAUCAUAAAUAUCGAUUUUUAGGGUUUUAAUUUAAAGAGAGAUUUUGGAGUUUUUC